rnacentral:rRNA from 1 species
UACGUAGGGGGCAAGCGUUGUCCGGAUUUAUUGGGCGUAAAGCGCGUGUAGGCGGCCACGCAGGUCCGCUGUGAAAACUCGAGGCUCAACCUCGAGCUGUCGGUGGAAACCGCGUGGCUAGAGUCCGGAAGAGGGGACUGGAAUUCCCGGUGUAGCGGUGGAAUGCGCAGAUAUCGGGAGGAACACCCGUGGCGAAGGCGGGUCCCUGGGCCGAACCUGACGCUGAGGCGCGAAGGCUAGGGGAGCGAACGGG